rnacentral:rRNA from 1 species
UACAGAGGGUGCGAGCGUUGUCCGGAAUCACUGGGCGUAAAGGGCGCGUAGGCGGUCCGUUAAGCGUGUGGUGAAAGCCCGGGGCUCAACUCCGGGUCUGCCGUGCGAACUGGGGGACUGGAGCUUGUCAGAGGCAGGCGGAAUUCCGGGUGUAGCGGUGGAAUGCGUAGAGAUCCGGAAGAACACCGGUGGCGAAGGCGGUGAGCUGGGCAGUUGCUGACACUGAGGCGCGACAGCGUGGGGAGCAAACAGG